AAGAGUCCCGACCCGAAAUGUCAACUUUCCUGUUCUUCUGAUGCUGCCUGGCCUGGUGUGUUCCUCCAGCUCCACACUGUUGAUUUUGUUAUCUGCCUCACUAUUACCAUGCAUUAAAUUGCUGUAUUUAUAAGAUGCCUUUGUGAAUUAAACACUGGGCUCCUGGAUACUACCGAAGAUACAUAUUAGUGGCAUUAAAAAUAAGGAACGGAAAAAAUGUUCCAGAUUGAUGUAAAUAUAAAUUGAAUAGCUCAUGCAAUAAGAAAAUACUGGACGCAUCAAAUUCCCAAGGGUUUAAGAACAUAAUGGACGACUGAUGGGUGUAUCCUGACUGAUUUACAUCUCAUCUUACCACACCUGGAGUAACUGGCCAAUGACCAAAGACCAUCUGCGCCAUCUUCCAAAGCACACACUGUACCUAGAGGAGUGCUGUCAUCUGGAUGCUGUCCUGCUUGGUCAUGGAAGGAGUCAGGGGGGAUGGUGAAGAAAGGGAGGCUAUCUUCAUCCUUCUCAGAGAGAGAGAUCUGGAGUUCCUUAUGGACCGGGUGAUUUGGAGGAGAUGGAUUCUCUUCAUGGACGACCAGCAGAGGAGGUUAGGCCAUCAGACCUAUCAGCGAUCACUAUCCAGAUCAGUACUAUCUCUAGGAGGAAGACUGAGCUGCAGUGCUGCAGAAGGUGAAUGACAUUCUCUGCUCCACGAGAGUAAGUUCCAGAUUCUAAUUUGCACUCAAUGUAACUCUGCAGCCACAUCCAGCUUCCACCAAGGUUCAUGUCCUGUCAACUCCUGUGUUAAAUGUGACACCUUCCCUCGCUCGCUAAUGUUAUCCCCAUACACCUACGUCACUAACCCAGCAUGCCCUCUGAGCUAUGACCUCCCCUCUCUCGGAAUAACUCAACACCUUUCCCCGCGCGCACCAGCCCUCACAGCCAAGCCAUCCAUUUGUGAAUUACUCAUUUGCUCCUUGCUGUCGUUGCAUGGGAAGACAGCCCAUAACAGGGUAAAACAAGGUUGGAAAGGUAGGAGGCACUCAAUACCCAUGCCCUCACCCUCUCUGAGGAAAAAGCACUUGCCAUGCAGGAGAAGACCAAGACCACCCUUCCAGGGAAUCGGAGAUGUCUCGGUCCUGGGUAGGUAGCACUUGUCAUUGCUUUGCAAUGCUUACAUAAACCAGUGCAAUGCAGUGAUCACCUCUACAGACCACAACGCAUUCCGUCUCUUGUGUCUUACAGUGCACUCAUUCUCCCAAGGACCAGUCCACUGAGCUAUGGGGAGCAGGCAGGAAUGUGGAGUUGGAGACCAGGAUAAGAUCAGCCAUGAUGAUGUUAAAUGGCAGAGUGGGUUGAAUUGCCCACUCCCGUUCCUAAUUCCUAUGUUCCUAUGAGACGAGAGUGUGGAGGUAUUAGAGGGUCCCUUGUCAAGACUGCCUAUGAGAAGCGUCAGCAGCACAGAUGAUGACAUCUAGAUAGGUUCUGUUAGCAGGCAUGUGCCAUGAAAGGGCAGAUGGGCAAGGGAGAAGUGCCUUAGAGCAUUGGCGUUCAGAGGGCUGCCAAAGACCAGGCACCUUCUCAGCUUCCAGUGAGGGAGGGCCCUGAGGCCUCAGCGAUGAGAGAGUUUAUCCAGCGGCACAGGUAGGAGCAGCAGGCAACCUCCAGAAGGCACUGACCCUCUGCAGAGAGAAGCUGGAGUGAUACAAUCAGUAUCACAAUGCACUACCUGCCAAAGAUCAGGCUCUGCUGCAAUGUAGCCAAUCCUGCAACCAUCUGUCUUCCUCCGUGGGCAGGUUGGCAGCUGCCAUGGAGAGGUAAGUCCAGCACCCUCAGAGUCGCCAACAACUGCACUCCUGUGUCCCAUGCAUUUGUCCUGAGGACCAAAGGCAGGGAGAGAGUGAGAUGGUGAACAUUGAGCCUAGUCCCAGAGCCCCCUGCUCACAGGCGGACGGGACAAUGUCAUGAGGGAUCCAGCCAGAGGAGGAGAUACAAACAGGCCCCUCCACACUCUCCACUUGGGACUGCAGAGGUGGCUAGGCUGUCCACUUCCACCCUAUCUGCAACCACCAUCCCCCCCACCCACAUGACCAUUGGAAGUUCUAGCCCAGGUGGGUCAACUUGGCGCUAGCAAGACGAGCCUCAGUGUGCCCGACCAAACCUCCAGUGCUAAGGCGGGUCCAGUACAGAGCAAGCUCCCUCCACCCCGUUGCAGAGCAGGGCAGCUCAGUGUGUGGGCACAGCAGAAUAGAGAGGAAUGGUAUAUGGGGAACAAUGGCUCACAAUGUUAUGUAAACAGUUUGUUUUCCAUUGAAUGUCACUUAAACAAGUUCUAAAUUUCAUAAACCUUUGUUUUUCACCCUAACCCUCACAUUAACUCUAACCCUUACCCUUGUUUUUCAUGUAAUUGUCCUUGUCUCUGUGUAAGGAUAAGUCAUGCUGUAGCGCCCCCUCCCUGGACAGAAUGGUUGGGGGUGUGCAUUGAGCACCAAAUCGAUCAUAUGGAAACAGGGGAAAAAGUGACAUUGGCUUUCGCCAAGACCUAUGCCCCCACUUUCAACAUUACCCACUGUUCAGCUGGCUGUGUGCACAGGAGUGAAUACCUGAGGGAGUUGACAGGAUAGUGAGACACACUGAGGGUCAAUGCUGCCCUAUCCUAACACCUUCAUCUGCUGCAAGAAAAAUGCAUUCUGUGUGCCACAGUGUUCAAACCAAUUGAUUCUUCCAGCUCUGACAUUCAAUCCUGACCUAUUGCCAUCCAGAAAACAUUUUCUGUUUACCUAUUGAUACAGAUACCUCACAGAGAAUCUAAUUAAUUCAGUCUGUACCCAACUCCAUAAAUCCCAAUCCCAUUCCCCAUUAGAUAUUUUUCCAGUUACUCUUUUGAAGGAUGAAUCGAGCCAAUCACAGUUGCUUUGCUAAGGCUCUGCUCUGAAAAUACCACUUUCUCCUUACUGGGGAGAAAAUUUUUGCUGUUUAGCCAACCACAGACUGACUUGGACAAUUAAUCAUUUUAGCAAUGUUUAAAAGGAACCGCUAUUAUCACAUAACAGUAAAACAUCGGAUUCUCUUUAACAACUACUUGUGCAAGGGCUUAAAUUAAUCUCAAGAGUUCAAGUGCAUGACUUAUCUAAAGCUAUACAUGUUCAAAAAUGCAUGGACGUUACAAUAUAAAUAGCUUGCUUGAGUCACAGAAUCAUAAGCCUGUUUUUUUUUGUCAGUUGUGAUAGCGAGAGGGAAUUGGUUUCAUUUAUUUUGUACCAUUGCAAUGAAUUAGUCACGCUGUCAGCUCAUUGUCCUGAUUAGAAGCACGCAUCUUGAGUUUUUCCAUCUCAUUGUUCUCUUCAGCAAUGCCAUGUAUUAUACUUUUUUAACCCUGUGAGUGCAAUAGGAAUCCUUAGACCCUUACAAGCAGACACUUUACCAGCUAACCUCUGAUCCCUUUUCCUCAGCAUUGAGGAAUAAAACCAAUUAUUGCUGGCCAAGCUCAGCAGGUCUGGCAGCAUCUGUGAAGAAAAAAAGUCAGAGUUAGCAUUCCGGGUCUAGUUACCCUCCCUCAGAACUGUUCUGAGGAAGAGUCACCGGACCCAAAAUGUUAACUCUGAUUAUUUUCUUCAGAGAUACUGCCAGACCUGCUGAGCUUUUCCAGCAAUUUCUGUUUUUGUUCCUGAUUUACAGCAUCUGCAGUUCUUUCGGUUUCCCUCAGUGUUAAGUUCUGAUUCGAGUGUUGGUUUCAAACUAGGAGAAAGGAAGUGGACCUACUGUCUGGUUCUCACUGUGGACUCUGCAUAGAUCCCAGAUCUGUUGAAUGAGGAUGAUGAUCGUACCUAACUUUUAAAAGUUUGUUCAUGGGAUGUGGGCAAUGACAGCAUUUAUUGUCUUUCCCUAAUUGGCCAGGGUGCAUGAAGAAUCAAACAGAUUGCUGUGGAAUUGAUGUCACAUACUGCCCAAACUAGGAAAGGAAGGCAGAUUUCCUUCCUUAAUAGACAUUAGUGAACCAGGUGGGUUUUUAACAACAAUCGAUAAUGGUUACCAUUAGAUUUGGUUUUUAAUCCAGAUUUUUGUUGAUUUCAAAUAUCACCAUUUGCCACAGCGAGAUUUGAACCUAAGUCCUCAGAACGUCAGACAAACUGGUAAGGUCACAGUUGAACUAUGGAAUGCUUAUUUCUAACAAAAUCACUGCACCAAGAAUAAUUCACAAUAUCUGAGAUAGGUUAAGAUGUGAUAACACAUACAUCACAGUCUUUAUGAAAUAAAAUUGUUCAUUGUUAUUUUAUCCAA